rnacentral:rRNA from 1 species
GACGAACGCUGGCGGCGUGCUUAACACAUGCAAGUCGAGCGGUAAGGCCCUUUCGGGGGUACACGAGCGGCGAACGGGUGAGUAACACGUGGGUGACCUGCCCUCAGCUCUGGGAUAAGCCUGGGAAACCGGGGUCUAAUACUGGAUAUGACUCCAUGACGCAUGUUGUGGGGUGGCAAGCCUUGUGCGGCUGAGGAUGGGCCCGCGGCCUAUCAGCUUGUUGGUGGGGUGAUGGCCUACCAAGGCGACGACGGGUAGCCGGCCUGAGAGGGCGACCGGCCACACUGGGACUGAGACACGGCCCAGACUCCUACGGGAGGCAGCAGUGGGGAAUCUUGCGCAAUGGGCGAAAGCCUGACGCAGCGACGCCGCGUGAGGGAUGACGGCCUGG